AUCUCUUCUUGGCCUUUUGGCUAAGAUUAAAUGUAGUAUCUGUACUUAUCACUUUAAUAUAUGAUACAUCAUCUAUCUGAGGACAAUAUAUUAAAUGGAGUUUUGGAGCUUGGAGUUGGAAUAGAAGCUUGCUCCAUCCACUCCAUGCAUCGACCUGGUAUUGCGGUACCUCUAUGAAUGGUGCACACCCU
ensembl:snRNA U2 U2 spliceosomal RNA